GACCAUUUUAUGAAUAUUAAAAAUAGCAAACCAUUUUCAACCACAAGAAACAUUUAAAUCAAUGGUAGUUGUUAACAGUUAUUUCAGAGAAAGAAUUAAAUUUGUCGUAAAAGUUCAAUAUAGUACUGGAAUUAUUAAAUUAGAAAAUAUAUGAUAUUUUCUCCGAUCUUAUAUAUUAUAUGGUAUUUGCUGAAGUUUCCUAAUCCUAUAGAAUAAGGAUUGAAGAAUGUUUUUAUCUUGGGAGGAGCUUAUCAAAUCAAAUUAUUUUACACGACCCCUAAAUAAAUUAUGGCAUUUGUGACAACAGAAAUUGUGAAUUGAAAAUUAUCCUAUACAAUUCAAAUAAAAUUAUAUUGCAUUAUAUGUAUUAAAAAAUUAAAUAUUAUUUAUAACUAUGCCAUAAAGGUUUUUUAAACUAUAUUCCUAUUAAAUUCGUAUUUGUUUAUAUUUGCUAUAUAGAAUGUUUUAUUGAUUAUAUGCUUAUUUUCGCUAAUUGCUGUUUUAUUCGUUGAAAAUUAUAUCAUACAUUUUUUAAAAUUUUUUCCUUCUUUAUUCUUCCAUCAAUAUUGUAGUUAUAAUAUUCGAAUAAAAAUAUAA